rnacentral:rRNA from 1 species
UAGAGUUUGAUCCUGGCUCAGAUUGAACGCUGGCGGCAGGCCUAACACAUGCAAGUCGAACGGUAGCACAGAGGAGCUUGCUCCUCGGGUGACGAGUGGCGGACGGGUGAGUAAUGUCUGGGAAAUUGCCCGAUGGAGGGGGAUAAUUACUGGAAACGGUAGCUAAUACCGCAUAAUGUCGCAAGACCAAAGAGGGGGACCUUCGGGCCUCUUGCCAUCGGAUGUGCCCAGAUGGGAUUAGCUAGUAGGUGGGGUAACGGCUCACCUAGGCGACGAUCCCUAGCUGGUCUGAGAGGAUGACCAGCCACACUGGAACUGAGACACGGUCCAGACUCCUACGGGAGGCAGCAGUGGGGAAUAUUGCACAAUGGGCGCAAGCCUGAUGCAGCCAUGCCGCGUGUAUGAAGAAGGCCUUCGGGUUGUAAAGUACUUUCAGCGAGGAGGAAGGCAUUAAGGUUAAUAACCUUAGUGAUUGACGUUACUCGCAGAAGAAGCACCGGCUAACUCCGUGCCAGCAGCCGCGGUAAUACGGAGGGUGCAAGCGUUAAUCGGAAUUACUGGGCGUAAAGCGCACGCACGCGGUCUGUCAAGUCGGAUGUGAAAUCCCCGGGCUCAACCUGGGAACUGCAUUCGAAACUGGCAGCUAGAGUCUUGUAGAGGGGGGUAGAAUUCCAGGUGUAGCGGUGAAAUGCGUAGAGAUCUGGAGGAUACCGGUGGCGAAUGCGGCCCCCUGGACAGAGACUGACGCUCAGUGCGAAAGCGGUGGGGAGCAACAGAUUAGAUACCCUGUAGUCCACGCUGUAAACGAUGUCUAUUUGGAGUUGUGCCCUUGAGCGUGCUUUCGGAGCUACGCGUUAAAUAGACCGCCUGGGGAGUACGCCG